rnacentral:RNase_P_RNA from 1 species
CAGGCCGGUAAGGGUGAAAUGGUGCGGUAAGAGCGCACCGGCGUCGCGGUGACGCGGCGGCCAGGUAAACCCCACCUGAUGCUAGGCCAAGCAGGACCGUUCGUAGGUGGCCCGCCAAGGUCCGGGUAGGCCGCAGAGAUGGAUGGCUGCUCUCGACAGGAUCCGGCUUAUAGGUCUGCUAAGGGA